rnacentral:rRNA from 1 species
GACGAACGCUGGCGGCGUGCUUAACACAUGCAAGUCGAACGGAAAGGCCCUGCUUUUGUGGGGUGCUCGAGUGGCGAACGGGUGAGUAACACGUGAGUAACCUGCCCUUGACUUUGGGAUAACUUCAGGAAACUGGGGCUAAUACCGGAUAGGAGCUCCUGCUGCAUGGUGGGGGUUGGAAAGUUUCGGCGGUUGGGGAUGGACUCGCGGCUUAUCAGCUUGUUGGUGGGGUAGUGGCUUACCAAGGCUUUGACGGGUAGCCGGCCUGAGAGGGUGACCGGCGGGAUGGGGAGUGCGAGCGGGCCCACACGGGGGGGGGAGGCAGGAGUGGGAAAUAUGGCGAGACGGGCCGACGCCGGACGCGGCAGGGCCGGGGGCGGGAUGCGGGCGUGCGGGUUGGAAUCCGCUUCCGCGGGGACGGGGGAGUGGGUGGAGGUAAGGGGAAAAGAAGCACCGGAUAACCGCGGGACAGCAGCCGCGGUAAUACGCGGAAGAGCAUACGUCGGAAC